CGACGUGGUGUUCGCCGGGGGGCCCCGUGAGCUCCUGGCCAAGUUUGGUGCCUCGGGCCACCGGGUGCUCUUCUCGGCCGAGGCCUUCUGCUGGCCCGAGUGGAGCCUGGCCGAGGCCUACCCGCCCGCGGGCACCGGCAAGCGCUACCUCAACUCCGGGGGCUUCGUGGGCUUCGCCCCCGCCAUCGCCCGGCUCGUGGAGCGCUGGAAGUACCGGGAUGACGAUGACGACCAGCUCUUCUACACCCGCCUCUACCUGGACCCCCGGCUGCGGGCGGAGCUGGGGAUGGCCCUGGAUCACGGCUC